rnacentral:rRNA from 1 species
UACGUAGGGGGCAAGCGGUUGUCCGGAUUUAUUGGGCGUAAAGAGCGUGUAGGCGGCCAGACAGGUCAGCUGUGAAAACUCGAGGCUCAACCUCGAGACGUCGGUUGAAACCGUCUGGCUAGAGUCCGGAAGAGGAGAGUGGAAUUCCCGGUGUAGCGGUGAAAUGCGCAGAUAUCGGGAAGAACACCCGUGGCGAAGGCGGCUCUCUGGGACGGUACUGACGCUGAGACGCG